rnacentral:rRNA from 1 species
UGGGGAAUAUUGGACAAUGGGCGAAAGCCUGAUCCAGCCAUGCCGCGUGAGUGACGAAGGCCUUAGGGUUGUAAAGCUCUUUUGGCGGGGAAGAUAAUGACGGUACCCGCAGAAUAAGCUCCGGCUAACUUCGUGCCAGCAGCCGCGGUAAUACGAAGGGAGCUAGCGUUGUUCGGAAUCACUGGGCGUAAAGCGCACGUAGGUGGGCAGUUAAGUCAGGGGUGAAAGCCCGAGGCUCAACCUCGGAAUUGCCUCUGAUACUGGCUGUCUAGAGUUCGAGAGAGGUGAGUGGAAUUCCUAGUGUAGAGGUGAAAUUCGUAGAUAUUAGGAAGAACACCGGUGGCGAAGGCGGCUCACUGGCUCGAUACUGACACUGAGGUGCGAAAGCGUGGGGAGCAAACAGGAUUAGAUACCCCCGUAGUCCCUGAGCGGGCUGGCAAGGCGCAU